rnacentral:rRNA from 1 species
GCCGCAAGGUGCUGACGAGUGGCGAACGGGUGAGUAAUGCAUCGGAACGUGCCCAGUAGUGGGGGAUAGCCCGGCGAAAGCCGGAUUAAUACCGCAUACGACCUAUGGGUGAAAGCGGGGGACCGAAAGGCCUCGCGCUAUUGGAGCGGCCGAUGUCAGAUUAGGUAGUUGGUGGGGUAAAGGCCUACCAAGCCUACGAUCUGUAGCUGGUCUGAGAGGACGACCAGCCACACUGGGACUGAGACACGGCCCAGACUCCUACGGGAGGCAGCAGUGGGGAAUUUUGGACAAUGGGCGCAAGCCUGAUCCAGCCAUGCCGCGUGCGGGAAGAAGGCCUUCGGGUUGUAAACCGCUUUUGUCAGGGAAGAAAUCUUCUGAGUUAAUACCUCGGGAGGAUGACGGUACCUGAAGAAUAAGCACCGGCUAACUACGUGCCAGCAGCCGCGGUAAUAC